UCAAUAAAAUGAAAAUGGAAAAAAACACCAAAUGAAAUAAAAUUAGAUUUUCUUGUUUGGGUUCUUCCACCUUUGCUCAAUUCUAUAUCUCUCUCUGCUUCUCCUUCGAUCUCGUUCUCUCUCUCUCUCUCUCUCUCUCUCUCUCUCUCUCUAGGAUCUCAGAGCUUCCGUUGGUCAUUGUGAAUAAGCUCUGGUCUUCGUUACAGUGAGUAUUUUCAUUUUCUUCUGUCACCCACAUCCAAAUACCAGACCUGAAUCUGCAAAUCCCAGAAGGCCCCGAAACUCCAUAGCAACAGCUCUGUACACUCCAUUGAGUUGGAAUUCUCAGGUAAUUUUACAAUACAUCUUGCUUCAUCAAUCAAUUGAAAUAUUUGAGUAAUUAAUAAUUGAAUUGUGUGGUAGGCUGAGUUUCUUAGAGCAUUACUUGAAUUUAUAUUCCAUAAUCAUAAACUAACAAAACCCAGAAGUCAGAAUCGUUAUCAAAGCCAUGAGAUAAUCUUUGAUUCAAUGAAGAUUACAAUUGAAAAUCACAAGUAUCAGUCAUGUAAACAGCAUUGAGGGAGGGAGAUGAGGCUGAAGAAGAAGCUUCAUCUACAGCAGAAAUAUAUAAACAAGAGCAUAUAAAAAAGCACGCCCACAAGUCACGUGCUUUACAUUCCCCAAGCGGUAAAAUAGACCUUUUGUUUUUGUUUAUCACCCUCAGCAGCAGCCAGCCACCAAAAUCACCCCCACACCCAAGUAACCCAACACCGACAGCCACCACACCUGAC